UCCUAUCACUACUUUCCUUACUGCCAGAAAAAAUUUGACCAUAGAGCUGCAGGCUUGCCACUGUGAUGCUGAUGUGAAACAGCCUAGUCUGAACUUCUUUGACAGCACAGACAACUCCACUGAUCGAACAAGAGAUUGGGAAGGCCACUCAUACUCCGGCGGUAUCUGGAGGACCUCCGGGAAGACGGCAAGGACAGCACUUCCGAAAU
rnacentral:lncRNA from 1 species